CAGGAAAACUAUUUCUACCACUAGCUCAGGAAUAUUUGGCCAUUCCUUGACCCAGGGGUGGAGAUGAGCAUGGUAUUGGAACCUGUUCACUAUUUGUUCAGUCAUUAUUUCUAAAUAAUACCAAGGCUACAAAACAUUAUUGAUCCCAAAAGUAUUUAUUGAGCAGCUACAGUCUGAGGGCUGUGCAAGAUGACUAAAAAGGUUUGGUCUUUCAUUUCUAGUUGGUGCCUAUUAAAUAUAUACCAGUACCAGCUGAUUGGUUUAUUUGUCAAGGAAUAGAUUAAACCCACAUCUAGUAGUCUCCACUCACCCAUAGGCAUUACCAAAUGAAGAGUACUCUGGAGCUUCCAUUGUGGCUCAGCAGAAACAAAUCUGACUAGUAACAAUGAGGUUGUGGAUUCGAUCCCUGGCCUCAUUCAGUGGGUUAAGGAUCUGGUGUUGCCGUGGGCUGUGCUGUGUGUCACAAACGUGAAUUGGAUCUGCAUUGCUGGGGAUGUGGCAUAAGCCAGCAGCUAUAGCUCCAAUUGGACCCUUAGCCUGGGGACCUCCAUAUGCCAUGGGUGUGGCCCUAAAAACCAACAAAUAAAAUAAAAUAAAGUGUAUUCUAAAUUAUCCUUUCUCUCUUGUCACCUUAUCACUACCACUAGAGUUUAUAAGCCUGUUAUAGACUUGAAAUCACAUUACCAUAACUCCUGUUCAAUAUGAGGAUCUCAUCACAUUUUGAUACAUACCUAUCAUAUCAAAUGACAGGGGAUCAUUUCUAUCAUUUGCAUAGAUGCAAAAUCAACUGUUUGCACCAAGGUUCUGCCAUGACCAGCAUAGAAGCUCCUGGUAUCCACUGAGCAAAUGGAGGAUAUUGGCACCAGAGAUCAUCUCCCUGACUAGAUCCACCUCACCAAGGAUCCUGUUUAAAAUUCUGUCAGUAGAGAGACUAUCUCAAAAACACGCCCCCAACCACCCCACCCAUUGGACUUCUUUACCAAGGGCUACUGACAACUCCAGCUGGUUGCAGGUGGAAUUUCUCAAAGAGCCAGAGUGAACAUGGGCAGCAAAAGCAAAACCCUAAGGAUCUGAGGUAUACCAAGCUAAAUAAAUCCAGGGGCUAGGCAAGUAGGCA
rnacentral:lncRNA from 1 species